rnacentral:rRNA from 1 species
GGACUGAGACACGCCAGACUCUACGGGAGGCAGCAGUGGGAAUUUGGACAAUGGGGGAAACCUGAUCCAGCCAUCCCGCGUGUGCGAUGAAGGCCUUCGGGUUGUAAAGCACUUUGUCAGGGAAGAAAAGGUUUCGGAUAAUACCCGGAACUGACGACGGUACCUGAAGAAUAAGCACCGGCUAACUACGUGCCAGCAGCCGCGGUAAUACGUAGGGUGCAAGCGUUAAUCGGAAUUACUGGGCAUAAAGCGUGCGCAGGCGGUUCGGAAAGAAAGAUGUGAAAUCCCAGGGCUCAACCUUGGAACUGCAUUUUUAACUACCGGACUAGAGUAUGUCAGAGGGGGGUGGAAUUCCACGUGUAGCAGUGAAAUGCGUAGAUAUGUGGAGGAACACCGAUGGCGAAGGCAGCCCCCUGGGAUAAUACUGACGCUCAUGCACGAAAGCGUGGGGAGCAAACAGGAUUAGAUACCCUGGUAGUCCACGCCCUAAACGAUGUCAACUAGCUGUUGGGCCCUUCGGGGCUUAGUAGCGCAGCUAACGCGUGAAGUUGACCGCCUGGGGAGUACGGUCGCAAGAUUAAAACUCAAAGGAAUUGACGGGGACCCGCACAAGCGGUGGAUGAUGUGGAUUAAUUCGAUGCAACGCGAAAAACCUUACCUACCCUUGACAUGUCUGGAAUCCUGAAGAGAUUUAGGAGUGCUCGCAAGAGAACCGGAACACAGGUGCUGCAUGGCUGUCGUCAGCUCGUGUCGUGAGAUGUUGGGUUAAGUCCCGCAACGAGCGCAACCCUUGUCAUUAGUUGCUACAUUUAGUUGAGCACUCUAAUGAGACUGCCGGUGACAAACCGGAGGAAGGUGGGGAUGACGUCAAGUCCUCAUGGCCCUUAUGGGUAGGGCUUCACACGUCAUACAAUGGUCGGGACAGAGGGUUGCCAAGCCGCAAGGUGGAGCCAAUCUCACAAACCCGAUCGUAGUCCGGAUUGCAGGCUGCAACUCGACUCCGUGAAGUCGGAAUCGCUAGUAAUCGGAAUCAGAA